CACCAUAACCAUAACCAAUACCACCAUAACCAUAACCACCAUAACCAGAACCAAUACCAUCAUAACCAAUACCACCAUAACCAUAACCAAUACCACCAUAACCAUAACCAAUACCACCAUAACCAUAACCACCAUAACCAUAAGCAAUACCAUCAUAACCAAUACCACCAUAACCAUAACCAAUACCACCAUAACCAUAACCAAUACCACCAUAACCAUAACCAAUACCACCAUAACCAUAACCAAUACCACCAUAACCAUAACCACCAUAACCAGAAGCAAUACCAUCAUAACCAAUACCACCAAUACCAAUACCACCAUAACCAAUACCAUCAUAACCAAUACCACCAUAAGCAAUACCAUCAUAACCAAUUGUCACGAAUCCCGCUUCAUGAGUCUGUUUGCCUGUGUUUCUGUCCUGGAGUGUGUUCCGGUGUCCUGGAACGCACCCUGUCUGGAUGCCAGGCAAUGUAGCCAGUUGGGAGUUCUGAUUACCCGCACCUGUAUCCCAUCAGCUAUCUGCACACCUGGUCCUGAUCAUCAUCUCUCCUCUUCAUAAGCCCGGACCUGACAUCCAUUCCCUGCCGGAUCGUUAGCCAUGAACAUUACUCACCCGGAUCAUUUACCCCAUUCCCGCCUGGUCGUCGGAGGAUUCCGCUACCCCAUUGGAUCCACCUAUUUACUCCCAUCAACUCACCACCGCUGCCCGCUACGCCACCUGGAUAUAUCUACCCAUUCACUUGUAAAUAAAUACUCACCUUCUUCCUA